rnacentral:rRNA from 1 species
UCCCCGAUUGAUUCUGUCGGCGGUUAUAUGCUUGUCUCAAAGGCUAAGCCAUGCAUGUCUAAGUUCAAAUAA